rnacentral:rRNA from 1 species
UACGGAGGGUGCAAGCGUUAUCCGGAUUCACUGGGUUUAAAGGGUGCGUAGGUUGAUAGGUAAGUCAGUGGUGAAAUACUCCGACUCAAUCGGAGAACUGCCGUUGAUACUAUCUAUCUUGAAUACGGUGGAGGCGGGCGGAAUGCGUCAUGUAGUGGUGAAAUACUUAGAUAUGACGCAGAGCACCUAUUGCGAAGGCAGCUCGCUACACCGGCAUUGACACUGAGGCACGAAAGCGUGGGGAUCAAACAGG